AUGGUUUCUUUGCUCCUUCACUUUCCUCCAGCUCUGCCUUCACAGAUCUCUAAACUUUUCCAGGAGCAGGAGAAAACGAACUCAUCCCAGCCUUUCAGAUUGAGCAGGAUUGGAGCAUCACAGGGAUUGGUGUCGCUUGAGGAUGGACCUGUGGACUUCGCCCAGAAGGAGCGGCGGCUGCUGGACGUCGCUCAGAGGCUCCUGCACAGGGAUGUGAUGCUGCAGAACUACAGGCACCUGUUGCCACAGGGUAAACACAGCUUCCCAAGCAACUCCCAACAGCAUCCGUUUCCCAUCUUAGGAACCGGAUCAUGGUAGAGUGUCAUGAGUUUAGGCUUGAGAUUUUGGAUUCAAAGACCAUUUAGGGAACUUCAAAGGAUGUUGGAUUCUCGCCUCUCUAGUGAAAGGGUCUUCUCUGAUGAGGGCCCCAUCAUUGUACACCUUUAAUACUUCUUCCUUGGAAUUCUUCAAAGGGCUUGAACCCUAAGCAAUGUUGCCAAGUCUGAUGUCACUUCCCAUGACAGGGCACUGUGUUACCAAACUGAGCUGAUAUUCAAGUUGGAGCAAGGAGAAGAACCAUGGAUGAUGAAGAGAGGACUCCGAAGUCAGAGUCACCCAGGUGAGUUAACGAGGCCACACAGAAGGCACCUGGUGGAAACUGGAUCUCAAGUGGACAGUUCAGGGGUUGGUAUCUUUGAAGUAUGUUUUACAAAUCUCUUUUAGAAGCUCCAGACUUUUAUAACUGACUAAAGACAGAUGAACACCAUACCUUAGAUAUCAAACCAACUAUCACUCUCACAUUUAAAUGUUCUUCAUUUUUCUGUUUGACUUUUAUAGAGAGAGAUUUGCUUGGUUUUUGUAGAAUCCAAUUGCUGCCUUCCUCAUCCUACAUCUUUAUUUCUCUGUUUUUCUCUCUGUUCAGUAAUGUCCAUAGUUCACCUUCCCUCCUGUGCCAAACACUCUGUAAAUAUGCAUUUAUUGAUGUGUUCUUUUAUCCAACAAAUAUUUAUUAAGCACCUGCUACACACCAGUCAUGUUCUAAGCACAGGGGAUACGAAGCAAAGUCUAUACUCCUAUAAAUAGAUCCAAUUAGCAAAUAAAUAUGUAGUAUGUCUGGUAGUAAUCA
rnacentral:lncRNA from 1 species